GUCGUGAAAACCCGGCUGUAGUCACUCAAUACAAUUGCAAACGAAGACACCUACAAUGGUGUGGCAGACUGCAUCAGAAAGAUAAUGCGCAAAGAAGGGCCAGCUGCUUUUCUGAAGAGUGCCGGCUGCAGGGCGCUGGUCAUUGCUCCACUCUUUGGAAUUGCUCAAGUGGUUUAUUUCAUCGGUGUUGGGGAAUUUCUCUUGGGACAAACCCCAUUCAACCUUUACUCUGUCUAAGCUAUGAAACCACCUGAAUUAAACUUUAAAGAC